UACGGGGGGGGCAAGCGUUGUUCGGAAUUACUGGGCGUAAAGGGCUCGUAGGUGGCCAACUAAGUCAUGCGUGAAAUCCCUCGGCUUAACCGGGGAACUGCGUCUGAUACUGGAUGGCUUGAGUUUGGGAGAGGGAUGCGGAAUUCCAGGUGUAGCGGUGAAAUGCGUAGAUAUCUGGAGGAACACCGGUGGCGAAGGCGGCAUCCUGGACCAACACUGACGCUGAGGAGCGAAAGCCAGGGGAGCAAACAGG
rnacentral:rRNA from 1 species